UCUUCCUCCGGCUUCGGCUUCUUUCUUUGGGUUCCGGUGCGAAUGAGGAGGAGCCGGGGCGAGCUCGGUCCUCGCCGGAGUCUCGGCGCUGUCGGUCCGGCUUGGUCGGGAGGCGGUUCGGCGUGGACGGCUCGCCGCUUGGGUAGGGGUAGUUGGAGGUACCUACUACAUCCUGGCCUGGUCUCCAUCAUACAAACAAAACAAAAUGUGUACCAGAUGAACGACCAAAGUCUCAGACAGGACACGACCCCUGGGGCGCCAAGCCAGUGAGCCCAUCCCGCGGGGGACCCAGCCAGGGGGAUGCCACCCACUCCCCAGAACAGUCCCCUAGCCCAACUGAAGUGCCCUGACCAGUCCCAAAUGGAGGGGCAUGGGUACUGGACCACCGCCACGCCCAAUACUCCAAGCGCCCUACCGCCCCCACUACUCCCGGAGACUACGGGGGCCCCAGCCAACGCAGGAGCCAGCUACCACCUGAAAAAGGUCACAGCCCGCCAAAAGUGAGCCCAUGUUAAGGACCCGUCGUGAGUAGUGACGGGCGAGGGCGCCAGGAGAGGGGAGAAGAAGGCAGGGACCCAAGGAAGGGGAGGGGGGACCCCCAUCUCCCCGUGGCCCGACAACCGAAGUGUGUGGGGGGGGGGGGCAGGCCCCAGGAGAUAUGUGACUACCCCCACCCACCCUAUUACUAUGGUUACCAGGUCCCUGUCUGGCAGCCAUUAUCCCUGCACCGUGAUCGUGUGUGGUGGGGUGUCUUUUUAUUUUCAGAAAAUUUUAUGCACAUUUAUUAAAGUUUAUUUGGAAUUUAAAUAUAUAAAACUUUAAAUGUUUUAAUGGCAUUUUAACAAUUUUAUUAAGCUAUUACAAGAUUAAUUUUAAGUGGAGAAUUAUUCAACAUAAAACAAUGGAUUCUGUUGAGGAGGUUUGUCGAUAUACAGUGGUGUCUUGAGAUAUGAGUUAAAUUCAUCCCGUGACCACACAUACAUAAAAAAAAUAAAAUAAUUGUAUCUCAAAUCAUAUUUCCCCAUUGAAAUGAAUGGAAAUGCCAUUAAUCCGUUCCAGCACCCCCCCCCCCCCCCCCCCCCCAAAAAAAAACAAUUGUGUUUGUUUUUAAUCAGGAUCUAGAAUAUUGUGCAUCAUAAAACGUAGCGUAAAAUUAAAUAGAAUGUAAAGAAUAAAACACUGUGCAUCUUGAUUUAAUGCUGCAACCCAUUUCAAUGUGCUGUGCCUGCGUUGGUCACCGGGAGGCAGUACAAUAUAAGACGGCCAUGCAGACACAAAGAAGAGACUUUUUCUUAUCCUCCUACUACUGUGAGUGACUCAAAAACUAUUGUAUAUUAGUCAUUUUUCAUAGAGGACAAAGAAUAUAUGCCUCUGAGUAUUGUUCUAUAACAUUUCUAAAUAUGUUACUCCACUGUUCGUGUUGAAAUAUCCGUUGCUUAAAUUAUCGAUGUUAACCACGACCAUCCAAAUGAUGUUUUCCAUUUAUGUUAGCAUUAAGCUAAACUGACUCUCGUGAGGCAGAGCUAUGUAGUUAUUUAAAAUAUACGAUGUGUAAUUCUCUUUGUUGUGUUUAGUUUGACAGUAAACCUCAACUGGGAGUGGCAUUAAACCGCUUGAAGCCUCUUUUUUUGAGGAAUUGUUCACUAUUUGCCAAACUGCUGCUUAUUGUAAAGUGAGUUGAAUUGAACUGAAACACCUCGAGAUUACUUUUUACACCAUUUAAAAUAUUAUGAGAUCUUU